rnacentral:tRNA from 1 species
GUCUUAAUAGUUUAAACAAAACAUUGGUCUUGUAAACCAAAAAUAGAAUAUACUCUUUAAGAUU